ensembl:lncRNA
UGCCUUGCCCUUUUUUUCUGUGCGUAUAUUCUGUUUUGCAUAAGUCGGUGUGCCACCGGAAGAACCGCCCAUGCAGCUGCAUUUUUCCUCCGUCCCUUGGCAGCUCUGUGGAAUGUCUGUUUAUGCGACUUGUAGUUAAUUUGCAAGUAGGUCGAGAGAGCUAGUUCCGUGCGGUCAGGACCACAGAUGUGACUAAACUGCCCAAGGCCACCACCAGAGCUCCGAGCAGAAACUUCCAAGAAAUUCCCUGAAAGACUCUGUGAAAAAUAAGGUGGUCCUGCACUUUCUAACACUGACCAACAGAUGGUGCCAUUUCACCGUCUGCAAGCUGCAUUUCAGGCCCGUCAUGAUUGACUGGCUGGCGAUCAUGUUUAUAAGGCAUUUGCUGCAAAAGGCUGUCUAAGAUCGUGAACUUGUUCGGGCUGACAGUGACAUUUCAGGAGCUGAACAGAAGAGAUCCCUGGGGUCCACGGGAUAUACCAUCUUUCCCACGCAACCUUAUCUAGCAUUAUUACUUUCAGAAGUUGGUCACAUGACCACACAUAAAUCAAUAGACUGACAAAUAAAAGGCCUGAAACUGAGUCGAUUUCACUGUGCACAUUUAUUAAGUAUGUUCCCA